rnacentral:rRNA from 1 species
UACGAAGGGGGCUAGCGUUGUUCGGAAUUACUGGGCGUAAAGGGCGCGCAGGCGGCUGCUCAAGUCAGGCGUGAAAGGCCUGGGCUCAACCCGGGAAUUGCGCUUGAGACUGGGCCUGGACUUGAGUGGCGGGAGAGGAUGGUGGAAUUCCCAGUGUAGAGGUGAAAUUCGUAGAUAUUGGGAAGAACACCGGUGGCGAAGGCGGCCAUCUGGACCGCAACUGGACGCUGAGGCGCGAAAGCGUGGGGAGCAAACAGGGAUUAAGAA